rnacentral:rRNA from 1 species
GAUGAACGCUAGCGGCAGGCCUAACACAUGCAAGUCGAGGGGUAGAAUUAGCUUGCUAAUUUGAGACCGGCGCACGGGUGCGUAACGCGUAUGCAAUCUACCUUGUACAGGGGGAUAGCCCAGAGAAAUUUGGAUUAAUACCCCAUGGUAUAAUUAAUUUGCAUGAAUUGAUUAUUAAAGUUCCAACGGUACAAGAUGAGCAUGCGUCCCAUUAGCUAGUUGGUGUGGUAACGGCAUACCAAGGCGACGAUGGGUAGGGGUCCUGAGAGGGAGAUCCCCCAACUGGUACUGAGACACGGACCAGACUCCUACGGGAGGCAGCAGUGAGGAAUAUUGGUCAAUGGUCGGAAGACUGAACCAGCCAUGCCGCGUGCAGGAAGAAGCAUCUAUGGUGUGUAAACUGCUUUUGUACGGGAAGAAACACUCCUACGUGUAGGAGCUUGACGGUACCGUAAGAAUAAGGAUCGGCUAACUCCGUGCCAGCAGCCGCGGUAAA